GUUGAACGCUGGCGGCAUGCCUUACACAUGCAAGUCGAGCGGCAGCGCGGGGGCAACCCUGGCGGCGAGCGGCGAACGGGUGAGUAAUGCAUCGGAACGUGUCCUCUUGUGGGGGAUAACCAGUCGAAAGACUGGCUAAUACCGCAUGAGCUCGAGAGAGGAAAGCAGGGGACCGCAAGGCCUUGCGCGAGAGGAGCGGCCGAUGCCGGAUUAGCUAGUUGGUGGGGUAACGGCCUACCAAGGCGACGAUCCGUAGCUGGUCUGAGAGGACGACCAGCCACCCUGGGACUGAGACACGGCCCAGACUCCUACGGGAGGCAGCAGUGGGGAAUUUUGGACAAUGGGCGCAAGCCUGAUCCAGCAAUGCCGCGUGCAGGAAGAAGGCCUUCGGGUUGUAAACUGCUUUUGUACGGAACGAAAAGGCUCUGGUUAAUAUCUGGGGCUCAUGACGGUACCGUAAGAAUAAGCACCGGCUAACUACGUGCCAGCCGCCGCGGUAACAC
rnacentral:rRNA from 1 species